CAGUUGUAAACAAUCCGUCCCCCACAGCGGUGCUACGGAAGUGCAGUGAAUGAGCGCGGACAUUGUAACUCAAAUUGUGACUUUUUUAAAUUUAAAACUCAGGUCUCUGCGAAAUCAUCAGCACCUUGCGAAUAACCCAAGUGUCAACACUUUCGCCCGUGCACGCGCCGAACUUCUCACGGUGAAACCGUGCGACCAGCCGCCCCGGGAAAAUGUUCUACGACGUAGACAAUAAGCUCAGGUGCGAUAGGUGAACAAUGAGAGGACUGGGUUCCAUUCCGAGAUGUACAGAGACUCUGCCUCGAGUCCGGUUAAAAACACAAUAUCUGGCGCUGCUGCUGCUCUGCCUCGCGUGUGUCGCCGCGAACAGACCCCCGCGGUUUCUGAUAGACGGACGAUCAGAAAUUGUUAUCAGACUGAAAGAAGGUCCCGAAACACCUGUUGGAAGUCUCAUUUAUCGACUACGAGGUGUGGACCCCGACGGAGACACGCUAGUCUUCGGCAUACGAGAUCAAGUAGGAAGCGACAUCCUACGACUUGAAGCCAUUUCGUCCAACGAAGCUAAUAUUUAUUUAGUUAAGGAAUUAGAUAGAGAGGUGCGUGAUGAAUACUCAUUUGUUCUAACACUCACUGAUGGGCACUUAGGAGAGGGUAAUUUUAUAACUCAAAGUUUCUUAUUGCUAGUAGAAGAUGUUAAUGACAACGAACCUAUUUUUAAACCUUACCCACCGGCAAUAACGGUUAAAGAAAACUCUUCACCUGGUAUAUUGCUGACCGUUGAAGCAACUGACCUAGAUGAAGGAGCUUAUGGACAAGUGUUAUAUAAUUUACAAGAAUUAGACGGAGAUGUAGAUAACUUUGCCAUACAAACAGUCAACGGAAAAGGUGUAAUUCGUCUCAUAAAUCAGUUGGACUACGAACGCAAAUCGUUGUAUCAAUUGAGAGUUUUAGCUGUGGAUAGAGCCAUUCAAGGCAGAAUAAACACUGGUACUGCUGCUAUAUUAGUCAAAGUACAAGAUGUCGAAGACCAACCGCCAGAAUUCAUUGUGGCCAGUCCAGUCACAAGGAUCAGUGAGGAUGCUCCUUCAGGAACCUCUGUACUGCAAGUGCGUGCAAUUGAUGGUGACAGAGGAAUCAAUAACAGGAUAUCAUACAGCAUUAUAUCAGGUGGAGAAGAUCAUUUUGACAUUGAUAGUAGCUCCGGAAUUGUUUACACCAUUACUUCUUUGGAUAGAGAAGAUCCUGAUAACAGUAAUGGCGCUUACAUUUUGGAAAUCUUGGCUACAGAAGAAUCACACAUGGUAUCCCCGAUGCCAAGCACCACAACUGAAGUUACUGUGAUUAUAACAGAUGUCAAUGAUGAGACACCGAGGUUCAAAAGUCCAAGAUAUGUUGGAGAAAUUCUUGAAAAUGCCCAACAAAACACACCUAUUACUUUCCUUCAAGAUGCCAUACCAGAAGUGUUUGACUUUGACCAGGGAAAAAAUGGAACCUUUGAACUUUACCUGGUUGGUGAUAAUGGGGUGUUUGAUGUAACUCCAUUUAAAGGAAUAAAUGAAGCAUCAUUUUUAAUAAGAGUUAAUGAUCCUUCAUAUUUAGAUUAUGAAGUUAAUACAGUUAUGAAUUUCAGUCUAGUCGCCAAAGAAAUAGUUACCAAAGACCCCAAAAUGAGUGUAGUUCCAAUUUUAGUUCACAUAAAGGAUGAAAAUGACAAUUUCCCAGAAUUCACUGAAUCCCUUUAUACUGUGUCUAUACCAGAGAAUAGUGGUGUUGGCACUACAGUAGCGUGGGUGCAGGCCACCGACCAAGACUCAGACAACUAUGGUACAAAAGGAAUUAGGUAUACUAGUCUUGGAGGGAGUGUGGCACACCUUCUCCAUCUCAACCCAAUAUCUGGAGUAAUAACAGUCAAACACGCAGGAGAUGAAAGUUUUGACAGGGAACUGAUUUACAGACACUACUUAACUGUGGAAGCUAGAGAUGAUCAAGGAAAAGGCAACAGAAACACAGCUCAACUAGUAAUCAACAUAGAAGAUGUUAAUGACAAUGCACCAAUGUUUCUGGCUAACAAAUAUGAGGCCAGAUUGCUUGAAAAUGAAUUGGAAUUUGAAAACCCUCUUGUUUUGGAAGCUCGAGACCUCGAUUUGAAUGGCACUAAAAACAGUCACAUAGAAUAUUCGAUCAUUGGAGGAGAGUACAAGAAUAAUUUCACCAUAGACCCAAACCUGGGCAUCAUAAUACCUCGCAGCGGCAUAGAUUUUGAACAGAUUCCGGGCGACAAUACGAACAUACGACCUAUAUAUUUAACUGUUAGAGCGCGUGACUUUGGCGUGCCGUCUCUUUCAUCAACGGUGCCCGUAACAAUCUACGUGCAGGACGCAAACGACCACGCCCCCAUGUUCGCACAGAUGAUAUACAAACGAUCCAUACCAGAGGACAUGCCCGGCGGCACCAGCAUUCUUGAAGUGAAAGCCCGCGACGCGGACGGUUCUGCGCCCAACAAUCGCGUGGUGUACCGCGUGCGCGGCGCACGGGACAAGUUCGUGAUCGACGCGCGCACGGGUCUGCUGGCCGUCGCGCCCGGCGCCUCGCUCGACCCCGACCGCGCCGAGCCCCGGGUUACCCAUUACGCUCUCACUGUGAUCGCUCUGGACGGCGGUAUCGGCGAGCAGCAGCUGACUGCGGCGGUGCUGGUCAACAUUACCAUCGUCGACGUCAACAACAAACCGCCGGUCUUCGCCGAGCCCGGCACUAUACGAGUCAAGGAGAAUACGCAGGUGGGCACAGCAGUGUACCGAGCGCACGCGUACGACUUAGACGAGCAGCCGGUGUUACGGUUCAGUAUCGACAGGCAAGCCAGCGCCGCUAGAAAUGAAGAGGGCGUCAUAGUGCCCGUGUCAGAAUACGACUAUGUGGGACUGUGGGACCUCAAUACUGUCGAUGGAUCGCUGAGGAUAGUCAAGCUAUUGGACCGAGAAAAAGUGGAGAUGAUCAAAUUGGUGUUGAAAGUCCAAGACAUGGCAGCCGUGAGUAACGGGGUUCCGCAGACCGCUACCGCCACACUCACAAUAGUUGUUGACGAUGAGAACGACAACAACCCGAAAUUCCGAAAACCAUUCUACAAGACAUCCAUCACAGAGAAUUCCAAAAACGGCGCUCACAUCGAAACCGUGAUCGCCGAUGAUGCGGACAAGAAUAGAACGAUCACGUAUUUGUUAGAAGGCAAGGAGGAGAUCAGCAGUCUGGUCCACCUGGACAGCUCGACGGGCGAGCUGGUGGUAGCUGGGAGAAUAGACCACGAGGUGCAGCCCUGGCUCAACCUCACAGUCAAGGCCAUGGACAACGGCUUCCCGCCUAGAUAUGACGUCGUCGAUAUCGCUAUACAGGUGUUAGACGAGAACGACAACAACCCGGUGUUCGAGUCGUCCUCGUUCGAGUACCGUGUGCGCGAGGACGCCGCGCCCGGCACCGUCAUCGCCAACAUCACGGCGCGGGACCUAGACUCGGCCGAGUACGGCAAGAUCACUUACCUGCUCGACCGUAUGGCGACACAGGGCAAGUUUCUGAUAAACGCUGACACUGGUGCCCUCACUGUGUCGGACUGGUUAGAUCGCGAGACACAAUCCACCUACAACCUAGUCGUUGAGGCCUGGGACAACUACCAGUUUGGCUACCUCAGUGGCGAAAGCAGAAAUGCCUUCAAACAAAUAGUUGUGAACAUUGAGGACGUGAACGACAACGCGCCAGUACUGACGCUGCCCGUGGAGUGCGUCACCGUGACGGAGUUCCACAACGUCCGCGAGCCGAUCGCGCCGGUGUCGGCCACUGACGCCGACGACAACACCCUGCCCAACGGCCGCGUGCAGUUCCACCUGCUGCCCACACAAGGCAGCGAGUUGUUCCGGUUCGAGCAAGUGGGCGGGGACGCAAAUUCGGCACGGUUGUUCGCGCGUCAAUCGCUACGAGAUCGCUUCGGGAACUACUCGCUCGCAGUGGAGGCGCGCGAUCUCGGCUCGCCCGUACUGGCGGCGCGCGGUAUACUGCGUGUCUGCGUCACCGACUAUAACGACCACGCCCCCGUCUUCGUGUAUCCGCCGCAGAACGUCACCAUUAAAGUGCCCGAAAACGCGACAAUCGGCACAGUAGUAUGCGAAGUACGCGCUAUAGACGCGGACGUGGGCGGCAACGGCGCGGUGCGGUACCGACUGCGCGCGCCCGCACGGACGUUCGCGCUGCACGCCACUACGGGCGCGCUCCGCACCGCCGCGCCGCUAGACCGUGAGCAUCAGAGGUUGUACCAGCUUAGAAUCGAAGCGUAUGAUUUGGGACUCCCGACGCCUCUCAGUUCGGAUUUAGACUUGACCAUCUACGUACAAGACGUCGACAACUACCGGCCGAGAUUCCCCCACCCGAUGGUUAACUUGAACAUUACUGAGAAUGUGAGAAACUACAGCACAUAUCUGCCGAGCGUUAUCGAGAAAGACGAGAUCGACAGAGGCGACGAACCAGUGUUGCCAGUUUGCUAUUAUAUUGUCGAUGGAAACGAAGAUGGAAUGUUUGAAUUGGUACCAAAUACACACAAGCUCAUAUCAAAGUCACUGGACAGGGAGCAGAAAUCCGAAUACACACUGACAAUUUUAGCAACAGAAGAUUGUGUGACCAUACCAAAGUAUGACAACACUACGGACGCUGUCAGCACUCUCAAAGUGCACAUCUACGUUCAAGAUGUGAACGACAAUAGGCCUCAGUUUGUUAACAAGAUAUUCACAGGCGGCAUCACAACUGAAGCUGACUUUGGCAUUGAAUUUAUGUAUGUAAAGGCAAUAGACUUGGAUGAAGGAAUGAAUUCUAAAAUUGCGUAUUACCUUAAUGGAGAUGUUAAAGAGACAUUAACAGAGGGCCUGGAAAAUCUGUCCGUCUCACCUUUCCUGAUCGACGCAGACACUGGCGCUGUAUCUCUUAAUUUUGACCCACAGAAAGGCAUGAAAGGAUACUUUGAUUUCAAGGUUUUAGCAAACGACACAGACGGAUUAGAAGACGAAGCGCAUGUGUUUAUUUAUCUCCUCCGUGAAGACCAGCGCGUACGUUUCGUUUUACGCGCCCACCCGUCUGAAGUUCGCGACAAGAUACACGUGUUCCGACAGAACCUCGCGCAAGUGACGGAGUCCGUUGUGAACAUAGACGAUUUACGAGUGCACGAAAACAAAGAUGGCUCCGUGGACAAUACGAAGACGGACUUGUACUUGCAUUUGGUAAAUGGACAGGACCACUCGGUACUAGAAGUCGACCAAGUGCUGAAACUUGUCGAUAAAAAUAUUGAACAGCUAGAUGAUUUGUUUAAGGAGUUCAACGUGUUGGACACUCAGCCGGCGGAGUUUGCACCGCUGACGGCGGAGGCGUCGUCCAGCCAGACUGUGUACUGGCUGGCGUGGGCGAGCGUGUUCCUCGCCGCGCUGCUAGCUCUCGCCGUCACCGCGUGUCUGUCGCAGCGAGCAGACUUCGCGCGCCGUCUGAAGGCCGCCACCGCCACUGCUUACUCAUCGAACCCAGGCGAAUCGGGCAUGACAAUCCGCAGUUCCGCCGAGCGAGUGCCGAACACAAACAAGCACAGCACGAAAGGCUCCAACCCGAUCUGGCUGCAUGCGUACGAAAACGACUGGUACAAGACCGACGAUCUAAGCCGCUCUGAGCGCGACUCGCUGGACGAAAACGUCGUGGACCAAGACUCGCCGGGGGACAAGCCCUACUUUAUCACCACUAAUUUCCCCUCCAUACAGAGUGAAACCGACGUCGAAAACAACCAGGACAACUUCAACUUCUACCAGCAGUUGGAACAAAUGAAGAACGCAAAGAAUAUGGAAACUACAGAGUUGUAAUCGCUUUGAACAAGUCAGCAAUUAGUACAAGCUAAGUUAAUGAGACACUAGGCCUGUUUCACCACCUCCUGAUAUGUGCCGGAUUGCCUAUCCACUAUCCACAAUUUAUCUGAUAGAUAUUCCAUACUCUAUCUGUCAAGUUAAGGUGUGGAUCGCCUAUCCGGCACUUGUCAGGAAGUGGUGAAACAGGCCCUUAAGCUCCUAGGGCAAAAAAGUUUAAAGUGGGUAUUUAAAUGUAGGUAAUCUUAUUAGUUACCUACUACCAUCGAAGUUUAGAAACUGACUUAGCAAACAUGUUACAAAAUAAAAUUCUUUUUAACUGGGAAAUGUUAGGCAAUUUUACUAUUAAUAAAUAAUAAUACUUAAUUUAAAUUGCCUUGCCUUUCAAAGGCGAACGCGU